rnacentral:rRNA from 1 species
GUGAGGUAAUGGCUUACCAAGGCGACGACGGGUAGCCGGCCUGAGAGGGCGAUCGGCCACACUGGGACUGAGACACGGCCCAGACUCCUACGGGAGGCAGCAGUGGGGAAUAUUGCACAAUGGGCGAAAGCCUGAUGCAGCGACGCCGCGUGAGGGAUGAAGGCCUUCGGGUUGUAAACCUCUUUCAGCAGGGAAGAAGCUGUCGGGUUUUCUCGGUGGUGACGGUACCUGCAGAAGAAGCACCGGCUAACUACGUGCCAGCAGCCGCGGUAAUACGUAGGGUGCAAGCGUUGUCCGGAAUUAUUGGGCGUAAAGAGCUUGUAGGCGGUUUGUCGCGUCUGCUGUGAAAUUUCGGGGCUCAACCCCGAACUUGCAGUGGGUACGGGCAGACUAGAGUGUGGUAGGGGAGACUGGAAUUCCUGGUGUAGCGGUGAAAUGCGCAGAUAUCAGGAGGAACACCGAUGGCGAAGGCAGGUCUCUGGGCCACUACUGACGCUGAGAAGCGAAAGCAUGGGGAGCGAACAGGAUUAGAUACCCUGGUAGUCCAUGCCGUAAACGUUGGGAACUAGGUGUGGGUCUCAUUCCACGAGAUCCGUGCCGCAGCUAACGCAUUAAGUU